AGUGAACGCUGGCGGUAGGCCUAACACAUGCAAGUCGAACGGCAGCACAGUAAGAGCUUGCUCUUACGGGUGGCGAGUGGCGGACGGGUGAGGAAUACAUCGGAAUCUACUUUUUCGUGGGGGAUAACGUAGGGAAACUUACGCUAAUACAGCAUACGACCUACGGGUGAAAGCAGGGGAUCUUCGGACCUUGCGCGAUUGAAUGAGCCGAUGUCGGAUUAGCUAGUUGGCGGGGUAAAGGCCCACCAAGGCGACGAUCCGUAGCUGGUCUGAGAGGAUGACCAGCCACACUGGAACUGAGACACGGUCCAGACUCCUACGGGAGGCAGCAGUGGGGAAUAUUGGACAAUGGGCGCAAGCCUGAUCCAGCCAUACCGCGUGGGUGAAGAAGGCCUUCGGGUUGUAAAGCCCUUUUGUUGGGAAAGAAAAGCAGCAGGUUAAUACCCCGCUGUUCUGACGGUACCCAAAGAAUAAGCACCGGCUAACUUCGUG
rnacentral:rRNA from 1 species